rnacentral:miRNA from 1 species
GAGCUGGGAUGAGCUGGGCUGGGCUUGGUUGAGCUGGGCUGAGCUGGGCUGAGCUUUGCUGGGCUGAACUGGGCUGAG